CGGCACUCUUCUAUGUAUAGGUAGUGUGAAUAAACUCUGUAUUUCUGAUGUUUCAGCCUAUGAGCAGGCUACCAGAGAAUGCGAGAGCCUCAGGUAUAUCACAGACUUGUCACAGUCGAGUGACUGUGGUGAAUCGCCAGCUGCGCCAAUAAGGGCUGCAUCUGAUUCCGAGGAUGAAUGGAGAGAUGAAGAACCAAACAGCAACAGCCUCGGGGCCAGUCCUGGCGAAGGUCAAAGGAAUGCCAGCUCGCGACGUGGGUCACUGGCCUCAGCCCACUUCAUGUUUGGCGGCGUGCAGUCGGACGUAGCGGAUAAACUGCUGAGGGUUUUCACAAGAAGGUGCUUGGGCACCUCGAGCGUCAGAUGGAAGAGAUCAGGAACAAGAGAGAGGAAAUCCGCCAUUUGAAAAUCAUGCUGCAGCAGAAAGAACAUAACAGUGCUGUAGUGAUCGGUAACAUUGAGGGAUGCCGCAGCUGCCAUUGCAAACCAUGGAUGAAUUUAACAACAUGGAGUCAUUCAUCACAGAAGAAAACAACUUCAAUGCUGUGGUGCAGCCUCUGCGAAGUGUUGGCGGCCACACCCCGAG